rnacentral:rRNA from 1 species
UUAUUAUGAGAGUUUGAUCCUGGCUCAGGACGAACGCUGGCGGCGUGCCUAAUACAUGCAAGUCGAACGCUUCUUUCCUCCCGAGUGCUUGCACUCAAUUGGAAAGAGGAGUGGCGGACGGGUGAGUAACACGUGGGUAACCUACCCAUCAGAGGGGGAUAACACUUGGAAACAGGUGCUAAUACCGCAUAACAGUUUAUGCCGCAUGGCAUAAGAGUGAAAGGCGCUUUCGGGUGUCGCUGAUGGAUGGACCCGCGGUGCAUUAGCUAGUGUGUGGGG